AGUGAACGCUGGCGGUAGGCCUAACACAUGCAAGUCGAACGGCAGCACAGUAAGAGCUUGCUCUUACGGGUGGCGAGUGGCGGACGGGUGAGGAAUACAUCGGAAUCUACUUUUUCGUGGGGGAUAACGUAGGGAAACUUACGCUAAUACCGCAUACGACCUACGGGUGAAAGCAGGGGAUCUUCGGACCUUGCGCGAUUGAAUGAGCCGAUGUCGGAUUAGCUAGUUGGCGGGGUAAAGGCCCACCAAGGCGACGAUCCGUAGCUGGUCUGAGAGGAUGAUCAGCCGCACUGGAACUGAGACACGGUCCAGGCGCCUACGGGAGGCAGCAGUGGGGAAUAUUGGACAAUGGGCGCAAGCCUGAUCCAGCCAUACCGCGUGGGUGAAGAAGGCCUUCGGGUUGUAAAGCCCUUUUGUUGGGAAAGAAAAGCAGCAGGUUAAGACCCCGCUGUUCUGACGGUACCCAAAGAAUAAGCACCGGCUAACUUCGU
rnacentral:rRNA from 1 species